rnacentral:rRNA from 1 species
GCUCUAGCAAAAUCGCAAACAAAAAAGAGAUGCAUUUCAUUUUCAUUCUCACCACACCUGCAACAUGAUUUAGAAAUGUGAAUUGAAAAGCGGCCCGCUCGCAAACCUGUAGGAAGAGCUUUUCGAAGAAGUCUCCAUGCGAAAGUUUGAACACGGGGUGCAAUCAACUUUUGCUUCCAAACCUGAGUGAGAAGAUUUUUAACCUGCAAAGAUAGUUGAGAGGGAGUAUUCCUGGUAAUGCUUUGAAUAUCCUGCAAGCACAAUUUAUAAGUGGAUUUAGAAGUGCAUUUGCCACUCGGAGUGAGGUCCCAACAGAGAAUAUCUGGGCAGUCAUCCUGAAUGAUGGAGGUUUGAGUAAUAGAAGUAGCCAUAGGCUCUUGGAAAAGAGAAUGAAUAAGAUUGUUGUUUCAAGUUUUUUGCCCAGGAAUCCAUAGAUCCUUAACCUGAGCAGGAUAA